rnacentral:rRNA from 1 species
CCCUUAGAUGUCCGGGGCUGCACGCGCGCUACACUGAUACGUUCAACGAGUCCAAAACCUUGAUUGAUAGGUCUGGGUAAUCUUUUGAAGACGUAUCGUGCUAGGGAUAGAUUAUUGCAAUUAUUAAUCUUGAACGAGGAAUUCCUAGUAAACGCAAGUCAUCAGCUUGCAUUGAUUACGUCCCUGCCCUUUGUACACACCGCCCGUCGCACCUACCGAUUGAAUGACUCGGUGAAAAAUUGGGACUGUGAUUGAAAUUGCUUCAUUGCGAAUUUAAUUAUGGAAACUUUCUUUAACCUAGGCAUUUAGAGGAAGGUGAAGUCGUAACA